rnacentral:lncRNA from 1 species
ACUGAGGAAGUAGAGAAGUCAAUGCGUCAUCAAGAUCAUCAACAACCUGGUGCUCAUGGAACUCUAUCAAAGCAUCAUUCUCUCUGAUCUGUUGAAGCAACUCCUCUCGUUCACGGAUCCAAGCACGCGAACGGUCUUCGUCUCUCAACUCCUCUACUCCUUGUCUAUGGAGGGUUGAAGGCCCAGCCACAACCAAAGGUGUGGGUCUUGGAUACUCAUAAGGCAUGAGGUACUCG